UGCCAAUAUGUUCCCCCUUUUCUUUUAUGAAGCGUAUGGAAUAAUCUUGUUUAAUUUCACCCCUUAAUACAUGCUAAACAAUAGAGCAGUACCGUUCGAAGACAUGACCCUGCCAGCAUUAAACUAUGCCAAAACUUGUUCAUAUAACACUUUAUUAAUUUGCCUAGCAUAUCAUUUAAGUGUGACAAUUAACACAUACUUCUGUAACGGAG